UCAGGACGAACGCUGGCGGCGCGCCUAACACAUGCAAGUCGAACGAGCGAGAGAGAGCUUGCUUUCUCGAGCGAGUGGCGAACGGGUGAGUAACGCGUGAGGAACCUGCCUCAAAGAGGGGGACAACAGUUGGAAACGACUGCUAAUACCGCAUAAGCCCACAGGUCGGCAUCGACCAGAGGGAAAAGGAGCAAUCCGCUUUGAGAUGGCCUCGCGUCCGAUUAGCUAGUUGGUGAGGUAAUGGCCCACCAAGGCGACGACCGGCAGCCGGACUGAGAGGUUGAACGGCCACAUUGGGACUGAGACACGGCCCAGACUCCUACGGGAGGCAGCAGUGGGGAAUAUUGCACAAUGGGGGAAACCCUGAUGCAGCGACGCCGCGUGGAGGAAGAAGGUCUUCGGAUUGUAAACUCCUGUUGUUGAGGAAGAUAAUGACGGUACUCAACAAGGAAGUGACGGCUAACUACGUGCCAGCAGCCGCGGUAAAACGUAGGUCACAAGCGUUGUCCGGAAUUACUGGGUGUAAAGGGAGCGCAGGCGGGAAGACAAGUUGGAAGUGAGAUCUAUGGGGCUCACCCAUAAACUGCUUGCACAACUGUUUUUCUGGAUUAGUGCAGAGGUAGGCGGAAUUCCCGGUGUAGCGGUGGAAUGCGUAGAUAUCGGGAGGAACACCAGUGGCGAAGGCGGGCCUACUGGGCACCAACUGACGCUGAGGCUCGAAAGUGUGGGUAGCAACAGGAUUAGAUACCCUGGUAGUCCACACCGUAAACGAUGAUUACUAGGUGUUGGAGGAUUGACCCCUUCAGUGCCGCAGUUAACACAAUAAGUAAUCCACCUGGGGAGUACGACCGCAAGGUUGAAACUCAAAGGAAUUGACGGGGGCCCGCACAAGCAGUGGAGUAUGUGGUUUAAUUCGACGCAACGCGAAGAACCUUACCAAGUCUUGACAUCCCUUGACGAACAUAGAAAUAUGUUUUCUCUUCGGAGCAAGGAGACAGGUGGUGCAUGGUUGUCGUCAGCUCGUGUCGUGAGAUGUUGGGUUAAGUCCCGCAACGAGCGCAACCCUUACUGUCAGUUACUACGCAAGAGGACUCUGGCAGGACUGCCGUUGACAAAACGGAGGAAGGUGGGGAUGACGUCAAAUCAUCAUGCCCUUUAUGACUUGGGCUACACACGUACUACAAUGGCGUUAAACAAAGAGAAGCAAGACCGCGAGGUGAGCAAAACUCAGAAACAACGUCCCAGUUCGGACUGCAGGCUGCAACUCGCCUGCACGAAGUCGGAAUUGCUAGUAAUCGUGGAUCAGCAUGCCACGGUGAAUACAUUCCCGGGCCUUGUACACACCGCCCGUCA
rnacentral:rRNA from 1 species